AGAGCUGCAAUUUAACUUCUCGUUACUAGCAGUCUCAUCAAAUACAUUUGCAAAGUGAGGCCUCAUGGUGCAGCAAUGUUAGCCAAGAUUCUUGGGAGGAUAAGCAGGAUGUCCACGAGUUUAAGGCCUGUUUGAAUUAAUUAAAGGCCAACCUGUUAAACUUACUGAAAUGUCUCAAAAGAAAAAAAAAAGAAAAGAAAAUGAAAAAAGAGGGGGGCGAGUGAGGGAAGACUGAGGUUUUACCUUAGUACAAAAACACUUGCUAGUGCACAUCAAGUCCUUGGAUUUGGUCUCAACAAAUAGCAAAGCCAAAAUCCAUAACUCUUUAAAAAUAAAUAAAUAAAACUUUACAUAAAUACUUAGGCAUAGAUAUGGAAAUUAGAUCAAAUUUUUGAGUACUUUUUCACUAAACAUAAAUUGUAGUCCCACAGCCAAAUAUUAGGUGGAGCUUGGGGAGUCCUGAAGAGGAGGGGAAGGAAGGACCAAAGAAGACAGGGACACCAUGAGAACAGAGUCCACAGAAUCAACUGACCAGGACUCAUGGGAACUCACAGAGAUCAGUACGCAGAGGGGCUGACCAAGGUCCUCUACACAUAUGGAGGUUUUGGCUCAUAGAUAAGGGGCUCUUGAACUCACGAAUUCACAGCAGCUGUGGGUACCUGCCAGGAAGGAAGCAUCAUUCUCUGAUGGCAUGCCUACUGGUAGAAUUCUCACAUUAUGAGACCCAUAUUGGAGCACCGGACAGAAAUCUCAAG